GACGAACGCUGGCGGCGUGCUUAACACAUGCAAGUCGAACGGAAAGGCCCUGCUUUCGUGGGGUGCUCGAGUGGCGAACGGGUGAGUAACACGUGAGUAACCUGCCCUUGACUUUGGGAUAACUUCAGGAAACUGGGGCUAAUACCGGAUAGGAGCUCCUGCUGCAUGGUGGGGGUUGGAAAGUUUCGGCGGUUGGGGAUGGACUCUCGGCUUAUCAGCUUGUUGGUGGAGUAGUGGCCUACCAAGGCUUUGACGGGUAGCCGGCCUGAGAGGGUGACCGGCCACAUUAGUACUAAGAUACGGCCCAGACUCCUACGGGAGACAGCAGUGGGGAAUAUUGCACAAUGGGCGGAAGCCUGAUGCAGCGACGCCGCGUGCGGGAUGACGGCCUUCUGGUUGUAAACCGCUUUCGCCUGUGACGAAGCGUGAGUGACGGUAAUGGGUAAAGAAGCACCGGCUAACUACGUG
rnacentral:rRNA from 1 species